AUUGAACGCUGGCGGCAUGCCUUACACAUGCAAGUCGAACGGCAGCACGGGAGCAAUCCUGGUGGCGAGUGGCGAACGGGUGAGUAAAGUAUCGGAACGUGCCCAGUCGUGGGGGAUAACGUAGCGAAAGUUACGCUAAUACCGCAUACGAUCUAUGGAUGAAAGCGGGGGAUCGCAAGACCUCGCGCGAUUGGAGCGGCCGAUAUCAGAUUAGGUAGUUGGUGGGGUAAAGGCUCACCAAGCCGACGAUCUGUAGCUGGUCUGAGAGGACGACCAGCCACACUGGGACUGAGACACGGCCCAGACUCCUACGGGAGGCAGCAGUGGGGAAUUUUGGACAAUGGGCGAAAGCCUGAUCCAGUCAUGCCGCGUGCAGGAUGAAGGCCUUCGGGUUGUAAACUGCUUCUGUACGGAACGAAAAGGUUUGGCCUAAUAAGCUGAGCUCAUGACGGUACCGUAAGAAUAAGCACCGGCUAACUACGUGCCAGCAGCCGCCGUAA
rnacentral:rRNA from 1 species